UUUCUUCUUGGUAGGGAUGUUUCUUUUCUCGAUGAAUUUAGGUUUUCCGAGUUCAUGCGAUUCUUGGAGUUGGUUUCUGCGAAUUGCACACUCGACUAAAAACCUAGCAUUUCCAAGGGUUUGUAUGCUUUUCGUUGUUGCUGUUAUUUGAGCUCGAUUCCUUGUCUUCGUUGUGAUGAUUAGGGAGGAGCAAACGAGGGCGUGCCUGGAGAUGGGGCACCGAGCUGGUCGAACCCAUCGCCAAUACUCUUUUGGUGCUUCCGUCCAAUGACGGCCAUUGACCAAGCUUUACAAGGAGAAGCACUUUCCUGCAACAGCAUUACACUGGUCAUUGGGAACCCAGAGAGAGACACCAAAGAGUAAAGAAGAGCUUGACAAUGUAGUUGGGAUGACGGCAAUGGCAACAGCAAGUGGUGGCAUCACACGCUACCAAUGGAUAUCUAUUGCCUUUUCCCUUUUCAUGGAAGGAAAAGGGAUAAGCUACCAAUAGAAGCAACACAGCAUGAAUUCUUGGCCAGCUGAUGCUCAUGACAUGGCAUCAACAAGUUACAGUGUUUUAAUGUGAAGAAGGAAAAGCCACAGAAGAAGGAAAAGGAACAUGAGACAUCUUCUACUGCAAGCUGAAGCCAUAAAAAAAACCUCUCAAAGAAUCUUCAAUAAAGAAACAGUAGCUGGCGGUUCUUAUGAGACUGGCAGAAUGAUGAGGGGCUAUUAAGUGAGCAAUGUCUUGUGCUUUGCCUUGUCCUUGUUUUGUCAGAUGCCAUGGAGAAAAUUAAGUCUACCUAGGUGAUCUCCUUGACCAUGAUGUACGCUUAAUUAUUAUGUAUCUGGGUUGUAUUAUAUUUCACCAAGUGUUGAAACUUGGUUACACAAGUUUUUUAGAUAAUUUAGUCCAUAGAGUUGCUGUUAAAAGCUUGCAAAUGAGGAAUCACUGAGAUUUCUUCAAGACAGAAGGGGACAAAGGAGUGAUCUGCUGCUUGUGUUCUGAAUGGCCCCACUUUAUCCCAUCUUAGAGGAGGGAAUGUGUUGGUUCCCUGUGAAUUUUCCUGGAUGCAUAUCAAGUUUAUCCCAGAAUGUGUGGCCUCAAGCUUUUCUUCCUAUUCAUGCAGAGGCUGUGGCAAAGCUUGUAGCAUCUGAUAUUAGAAAGUGUGGUUGAACUGAGAACUCAAUCCAUUCACUCAAGUAGAACCUGAAUUCACUGAACU